GUUGCCUAAAUGUGUCAAUAGAAUAAUUUUUUUUUUUCCAUUUCUAACUGGGAAGAGGAUUCUUCCAACAAUUUUUCAUUUAGGGAAUGAACCACACUCUCGAUGUGCAUACAGAGAAGAUGGCUGGCUGGCUGGAUCCAGGGUUUUAAUGUUUCCAGCAUGAAGGCAGGGACUCGCUGAGGUUACGUGAACCGGUCUCCAACCAUUGAUAUUGGCCCAUUUACUUAUUUCACAGGACAAGGGCAUGGGAACAACCAUCUCCUGGAAUGGCCCUUCCACAGGAAGAGAGGAGGAUGCAUGGCACAGAGGAAGGAUGGGGCACCUGGAUUCAAAAUCUGCUUACACCAUCCACGGAGCCUGGGAUGUUGAAGAAUUAGUUUUUUCUGUUGGAACUUGCUUUCCUUACUUGUAAAAUAAAGUUAAUCCUGCAAAC
rnacentral:lncRNA from 1 species